rnacentral:tRNA from 2 species
GGAGAGAUGCGAGAGCGGCUUAAUCGGAUGGUCUUGAAAACCAUUGUGGCAGCGAUGUCACCGUGGGUUCGAAUCCCACUCUCUCCGCCA